GCCAAUCAGGAGCCUGGGAGGACUGGCCCUGUGACAUGGAGAGAGCGUUCAUUUGCUACGGUCCAGUGGUGUCUACUUCAAAGAAAGUGAUGAAAGUGAAGUUUGAGAACAAGAAGAAUCUGGAUCUGAAUGACCCUGCUGUGAUGGAGGCCAUGUUGAAGCAGCUGAAACAGAAGCUGAGGGCCCAGGGGCUGGACCACAACAUCAAACUGAGCUGGAGGAAGCAGGCCG